CCUACGGGGGGCUGCAGUGGGGAAUAUUGGACAAUGGGGGAAACUCUGAUCCAGCAAUGCCGCGUGUGUGAAGCAGGCCUGCGGGUUGUAAAGCACUUUCGGUUGGGAAGAAAAGUUUGGCGCCAAUACCGCCGAACCUUGACGUUACUGACAGAAGAAGCACCGGCUAACUCUGUGCCAGCAGCCGCGGUAAUACAGAGGGUGCAAGCGUUCGUCAGACGUACUGGGGGUAACACGUAAGUCGGUGGUCAAAUCCCCGGGCUUAACCUGGGAACUGCAUUCGAUACUACAUGGCUAGAGUAUGGUAGAGGGAAGUGGAAUUUCCGGUGUAGCGGUGAAAUGCGUAGAUAUCGGAAGGAACACCAAUGGCGAAGGCAGCUUCCUGGACUAAUACUGACACUGAGGCACGAAAGCGUGGGUAGCAAACAGGAUUAGAUACCCCUGUAGUC
rnacentral:rRNA from 1 species